rnacentral:rRNA from 1 species
CGACCGGCGCACGGGUGCGUAACACGUAUGGAACUUGCCCUGUACUGGGAGAUAGCCCGGAGAAAUCCGGAUUAAUAUCCCAUAAUAUCCCGAGUGGCAUCACUUGGGUGUAAAAGCUCCGGCGGUACAGGAUAGCCAUGCGUCCGAUUAGCUAGUUGGUGAGGUAACGGCUCACCAAGGCUACGAUCGGUAGGGGGCCUGAGAGGGUUAUCCCCCACACUGGUACUGAGACACGGACCAG